rnacentral:rRNA from 1 species
GACGGAGGAUGCAAGCGUUAUCCGGAAUGAUUGGGCGUAAAGCGUCCGCAGGUGGCAGUUCAAGUCUGCUGUCAAAGACCGGGGCUUAACUUCGGAAAGGCAGUGGAAACUGAACAGCUAGAGUAUGGUAGGGGCAGAGGGAAUUCCUGGUGUAGCGGUGGAAUGCGCAGAUAUCAGGAGGAAGACCAGUGGCGAAGGCGGGUCUCUGGACAGUUCCUGACACUGAGACACGAAGGCCAGGGGAGCAAACGGG